rnacentral:rRNA from 1 species
GUGACCUCAAAUCAGGUAGGACUACCCGCUGAACUUAAGCAUAUCAAUAAGCGGAGGAAAAGAAACUAACAAGGAUUCCCCUAGUAACUGCGAGUGAAGCGGGAAAAGCUCAAAUUUAAAAUCUGUCAGUCUUUGGCUGUCCGAGUUGUAAUCUAGAGAAGUGUUAUCUGCGUUGGACCGUGUACAAGUCUCCUGGGAUGGAGCGUCAUAGAGGGUGAGAAUCCCGUCUUUGACACGGACUACCAAGGCUUUGUGAUGCGCUCUCAAAGAGUCGAGUUGUUUGGGAAUGCAGCUCAAAAUGGGUGGUAAAUUCCAUCUAAAGCUAAAUAUUGGCGAGAGACCGAUAGCGAACAAGUACCGUGAGGGAAAGAUGAAAAGAACUUUGGAAAGAGAGUUAAACAGUACGUGAAAUUGCUGAAAGGGAAACGCUUGAAGUCAGUCGCGUUGUCCAGGGAUCAACCUUGCUUUUGCUUGGUGUACUUUCUGGUUAACGGGUCAACAUCAAUUUUGAUCAUUGGAAAAAAGUUAAGGGAAUGUGGCAUCUUUGGAUGUGUUAUAGCCUUUGAUUGUAUACAAUGGUUGGGAUUGAGGAACUCAGCACGCCGCAAGGCCGGGUUUAACCACGUACGU